CCAAUAGCGUAUAUUAAAGUUGUUGCAGUUAAAAAGCUCGUAGUUGAAUUUUGGGUCUGGCCGGGCGGUCCGCCCUCUGGGUGAGCACUGUUCCGACGUCGGGCCUAUCCUUCUGGUGAGUCGGCAUGUCCUUUAUUGGGUGUGUCGGGGAACCAGGACCAUUACCUUGAAAAAAUUAGAGUGUCCAAAGCAGGCGUAUGCUCGGAUACAUUAGCAUGGAAUAAUGAAAUAGGACGCGUGGUGCUAUUUUGUUGGUUUCUAGAACCGCCGUAAUGAUUAAUAGGGAUAGUUGGGGGCAUUAGUAUUCAAUUGUCAGAGGUGAAAUUCUUGGAUUUAUUGAAGACUAACUUCUGCGAAAGCAUUUGCCAAGGAUGUUUUCAUUAAUCAAGAACGAAAGUUAGGGGAUCGAAGACGAUCAGAUACCGUCGUAGUCUUAACCAUAAACUAUGCCGACUAGGAAUCGGGCGAUGUUAUUCUCAUGACUCGCCCGGCGCCUUAUG
rnacentral:misc_RNA from 1 species